CCUACGGGAGGCAGCAGUGAGGAAUAUUGGUCAAUGGACGAAAGUCUGAACCAGCCAAGUAGCGUGAAGGAUGACUGCCCUAUGGGUUGUAAACUUCUUUUAUAUAGGAAUAAAAUGUUCCACGUGUGGGCUUUUGUAUGUACCAUAUGAAUAAGGAUCGGCUAACUCCGUGCCAGCAGCCGCGGUAAUACGGAGGAUCCGAGCGUUAUCCGGAUUUAUUGGGUUUAAAGGGAGCGUAGGUGGAUUGUUAAGUCAGUUGUGAAAGUUUGAGGCUCAACCGUAAAAUUGCAGUUGAUACUGGCAGUCUUGAGUACAGUUGAGGUGGGCGGAAUUUGUGGUGUAGCGGUGAAAUGCUUAGAGAUCACGCAGAACUCCGAUUGCGAAGGCAGCUCACUGGACUGCAACUGACACUGAGGCUCGAAAGUGUGGGUAUCAAACAGGAUUAGAUACCCCUGUAGUC
rnacentral:rRNA from 1 species